rnacentral:tRNA from 1 species
GAGAGAGGUAUAAUACAAUAAGAACUGCUAACUCUU